UUCGCAUCUCUAAACUCGCGAUACGCAUGCCCCACAACUCAGUACAGAAUUCGAUCACGCAUUCAUUCAAUAAUAUAUACGAUUUGUUUUGUUUUAGAAUUAACAUAAAUCUUGAAAUAUUAAGGGACUUAGAAACUCCAACAGGAUGCCACUACAGCGAGAAUUGACGAAGAUUUUACGCAAGUACAAGGUGGUAUUACUCAUAUUUUCGUAUUUCUAUACUAUUUCUUUUGUUUUAGACUUCCACUGUGCACUGUCGGAGGACUUUGAAAAUCUAUCUCCACGAGAGGACUUAGAAAUUUUUGCUCCUUUGGGGGACUGAAAAUCUUUCUCUACGAGUGGACUUAGAAAUUUUCGCACCUUUGGGGGACUUUGAAAAUCUAUCUCCACGACUAGACUUAGAAAUUUUCGCACGAUGCCAAAUUCCAGCAAAUAUUAACAAAGACUUAAAAACCUCGUUGCAAUCGCGCGCAUUGCAAUGAUGUAAUCAAGGGUUAGUAGCGCUAAAAUAAAUUUAUCGCGAAGUAGAAGCAGUGUUUGUUCGUUCGCGUGUCGCGAUUUAAACCAUAAGUGUUUUUGCAUAGACUGCGUGCAAUGCAGUCCUUAGAGUCAGUGUUUGUUCGCGUAGUUUUUUCAAUUUUUUAACAGUCGCACUGACUGUAUUUAUAAUAUAUAGUAGAGUUUCGCGAAAUAAAUUCAGUGUCCGUUCGUUAAUAAAUAACUACCGCGAAUUAGAGUCAGUGCAUCACUGAAGAGGAUCUCGACCAACGUCGAUGUCGACCUACCUCAUUUUCAACCAACUACGAAUCAUCCACCCUCAAUUUCGACCUAAAUCGCGGUCGAGUGUUUUGGAGCCAUCGCAGAACUUCUUAAGUAGUUAGAUCAUCGAGG